GAACCUUACCUGGGCUCGAACGGCUGGUCAACGGCGGUGGAAACAUCGCUACCCCGCAAGGGGGUCCAGUCGAGGUGCUGCAUGGCUGUCGUCAGCUCGUGUCGGGAGAUGUUGGGUUAAGUCCCGCAACGAGCGCAACCCUUGUCCUGUGUUGCCAUGCCGAAAGGCGGAACUCGCAGGAGACCGCCAGCGAUAAGCUGGAGGAAGGUGGGGAUGACGUCAAGUCCUCAUGGCCUUUAUGUCCAGGGCUACACACGUGCUACAAUGGACGGUACAAAGCGCCGCUAACCCGCGAGGGGGAGCCAAUCGCAAAAAACCGUUCUCAGUUCGGAUUGCAGGCUGCAACUCGCCUGCAUGAAGCUGGAAUCGCUAGUAAUGGCAGAUCAGCACGCUGCCGUGAAUACGUUCCCGGGCCUUGUCACACCGA
rnacentral:rRNA from 1 species